UACGAAGGGAGCUAGCGUUGUUCGGAUUUACUGGGCGUAAAGGGCGCGUAGGCGGCCACCGCAAGUCGGUUGUGAAAUCUCUGGGCUUAACCCAGAAAGGUCAAUCGAUACUGCGGGGCUAGAGUGCAGAAGGGGCAACUGGAAUUCUCGGUGUAGCGGUGAAAUGCGUAGAUAUCGAGAGGAACACCUGCGGCGAAGGCGGGUUGCUGGGCUGACACUGACGCUGACAGCGCGAAAGCUAGGGGAGCGAACGGG
rnacentral:rRNA from 1 species